AGCCAUAGACUGCGUGCUAUUGAUUCCGAAUGGAGAUGACAUGCUUCCGAGUAUUCGGACGUUCCAAUCCCUCGUUGGCAGUCUACUUUGAGUGGCGCGCUGAACGCGGGCGGACAUCGCGUUCGCCGUGCAUAAAGCAACACGCCAGACCCAUCAGACAGGACCGCACGACCUCGGGCUCGCGAACCAAAUCGCGCGAUACAUGAUAGGUAACGCGAAUAUAAGCUGCACAUAACGCCGAUGAAGCUAUCCGAUAGCGAGUUUCACCUACUCGCUAUCGGAUAGCUUCAUCGGCUCCACGUAAGUCGGUCAUAGUGAUCCGGUAAUACUUUGUGGAAAAAUUAUCGCUCAACGGAUAAAAGGUACUCCGGGGAUAACAGGCUGAUGACUCCUAAGAGCUCCUAUCGACGGAGUCGUUUGGCACCUUGAUGUCGACUCAUCACAUCGUGGAGCUGAAGAAGGUGCCAAGGUUUCGGCUGUUCGCCGAUUAAAGUGGUACGUGAGUUGGGUUUAGAACGUCGUGAGACAGUUUGGUUCCUAUCUUCUAUAGAUAUUUUAAAAAAUGAAAGAAUCUAACUCUAGUACGAGAGGACCGAGAAGGGUAAAUCUCUGGUGUAUCGGUUGUUAAAAAGCAUCGCCGAGUAGAUAAAUUUAUUUUGAAUAAUUACUGAAAGCAUCUAAGUAAGAAACCAUUCUUAAAAAUUUUUUAUAUAAAAACUGUAAAAGAUCAUUACAUUGAUAGGUUUAAAGUGUAAGUAUUGUAAAAUAUUAGCUUAAAAAUACCAAAAGGUUUU
rnacentral:ncRNA from 1 species